GACGAACGCUGGCGGCGUGCUUAACACAUGCAAGUCGAACGGAAAAGGCCCGCAUCAUUUUUUUUGGUGGGGGUGCUCGAGUGGCGAACGGGUGAGUAACACGUGGGUGAUCUGCCCUGUACUUCGGGAUAAGCUUGGGAAACUGGGUCUAAUACCGGAUAGGACCAUGGUUUAGUGUCUCACGGUGGAAAGAUUAUUGUUUUGGUGCAGGAUGAGCUCGCGGCCUAUCAGCUUGUUGGUGGGGUAAUGGCCUACCAAGGCGUCGACGGGUAGCCGGCCUGAGAGGGUGGACGGCCACACUGGGACUGAGAUACGGCCCAGACUCCUACGGGAGGCAGCAGUGGGGAAUAUUGCACAAUGGGCGCAAGCCUGAUGCAGCGACGCCGCGUGGGGGAUGACGGCCUUCGGGUUGUAAACUCCUUUCGUUAGGGACGAAGCCACACUUUUUUUGGGUGUGGUGACGUACCUUUGUAAGAACACCC
rnacentral:rRNA from 1 species